rnacentral:rRNA from 1 species
GAUGAACGCUGGCGGCGUGCCUAAUACAUGUAAGUCGAGCGAACAGACGAGGAGCUUGCUCCUCUGACGUUAGCGGCGGACGGGUGAGUAACACGUGGAUAACCUACCUAUAAGACUGGGAUAACUUCGGGAAACCGGAGCUAAUACCGGAUAAUAUAUUGAACCGCAUGGUUCAAUAGUGAAAGACGGUUUUGCUGUCACUUAUAGAUGGAUCCGCGCCGCAUUAGCUAGUUGGUAAGGUAACGGCUUACCAAGGCAACGAUGAGUAGCCGACCUGAGAGGGGGAGCGGCCACACGGGAAAUAGGAACCGGACUAGACAACGACGGGAGGCAGCAGUAGGGAAUGAUUGAGAAUGGGCGAAUGAUUGAAAAAGUAAAUAAGAGGGGGUGAAGAAGGUUUUAGGAUACUAAAAAUGUCUUAUUAGGGAAGAAAAAAAGUGCAAGUAAUUAGGAACGGCCAGCCGGUAUGUAAAUAAAAAAAAAGGGCAAACGUAGUG